AUACGUAGGGGGCGAGCGUUGUCCGGAAUGAUUGGGCGUAAAGGGCGCGUAGGCGGCGCGGUAAGUCUGGAGUGAAAGUCCUGCUUUCAAGGUGGGAAUUGCUUUGGAUACUGCCGCGCUUGAGUGCAGGAGAGGUUAUCGGAAUUCCCGGUGUAGCGGUGAAAUGCGUAGAGAUCGGGAGGAACACCAGUGGCGAAGGCGACUUACUGGGCCGUAACUGACGCUGAGGCGCGAAAGCGUGGGGAGCGAACAGGAUUAGAUACCCUUGUAGUCCACGCGGUAAACGAUGAAUGCUAGGUGUUGCGGGUAUCGACCCCUGCAGUGCCGGAGUAAACACAAUAAGCAUUCCGCCUGGGGAGUACGGCCGCAAGGUUGAAACUCAAAUGAAUUGACGGGG
rnacentral:rRNA from 1 species